GACCGANCGCNGGCGGCGUGCCUANUACAUGCANGUAGAACGCACAGCNUNCNCCGUAGUUUGCUACNCCCGUNNUUCUGUGAGUUGCNACGGGUGAGUAACGCGUAGGUAACCUGCCUGUUAGAGGGGGAUAACUAUUGGAAACGAUAGCUAAUACCGCAUANCNNNAUGUANNACAUGUUAGAUGUUUNAAAGAUGCAAAUGCAUCGCUANCAGAUGGACCUGCGUUGUAUUAGCUAGUAGGUNNGGUAAUGGCUNACCUAGGCGACGAUACACAGCCGACCUGAGAGGGUGAUCGGCCACACUGGGACUGAGACACGGCCCAGACUCCUACGGGAGGCAGCAGUAGGGAAUCUUCGGCAAUGGGGGGAACCCUGACCGAGCAACGCCGCGUGAGUGAAGAAGGUUUUCGGAUCGUAAAGCUCUGUUGUUAAGGAAGAACGAGUGUGAGAAUGGAAAGUUCAUACUGUGACGGUACUUAACCAGAAAGGGACGGCUAACUACGUGCCAGCAGCCGCGGUAAUACGUAGGUCCCGAGCGUUGUCCGGAUUUAUUGGGCGUAAAGCGAGCGCAGGCGGUUAGAAAAGUCUGAAGUUAAAGGCAGUGGCUCAACCAUUGUAGGCUUUGGAAACUGUUUAACUUGAGUGUAGAAGGGGAGAGUGGAAUUCCAUGUGUAGCGGUGAAAUGCGUAGAUAUAUGGAGGAACACCGGUGGCGAAAGCGGCUCUCUGGUCUGUAACUGACGCUGAGGCUCGAAAGCGUGGGGAGCGAACAGG
rnacentral:rRNA from 1 species